GGGAGUGACGUCAAGUCCUCAUGGCCUUUAUGUCUAGGGCUACACACGUACUACAAUGGCCGGUACAAAGGGCAGCCACUCAGCGAUGAGGCGCUAAUCCCAUAAAGCCGGUCUCAGUCCGGAUCGCAGUCUGCAACUCGACUGCGUGAAGUUGGAAUCGCUAGUAAUCGUAGAUCAGCAUGCUACGGUGAAUACGUUCCCGGGCCUU
rnacentral:rRNA from 1 species